AGCUCUACCUUAGUUUUUUUGUUAAACUGAACAAGACCUCAAACUUAAGAGCUAUUCAAAUAAGGCACAGCUUAUUUGAAAUAGGAUACAACCUACAACAUAGGGUAACCGAGAGUAACUUAAAUAAAGUGGGCCUAAAAGCAGCCAUCUUUAAAAAAGCGUUAAAGCUUAACUACUCCUCACUCACAAUACCUAAAGCCCUCACUAACCCCUCAAUACUAUUGAACAGUUUUAUACUCAUAUAAAAGCUAUUAUGCUAGAACUAGUAACAAGAAAUUGCCUUUCUCCUAAAUGUAAGUAUACACCAAAAUAAACUCUGUUGGCUAUUAACGUGAAUGCUAAACUAUAGUAACACCCGCUAGAAAACUCUAUAACUCUUAACGUUAACCUUACACCAGAACAUUCCAGGAAAGAUUAAAAGAAAAAGAAGGAACUCGGCAAAUCAUAGCCCCGCCUGUUUACCAAAAACAUCGCCUCUUGCAAAACAUAAGAGGUCCAGCCUGCCCAGUGACGAAGUUCAACGGCCGCGGUACCCUAACCGUGCGAAGGUAGCAUAAUCACUUGUUCUUUAAAUGAGGACUUGUAUCAACGGCACUACGAGGGCUAUACUGUCUCCUUUUUCCAAUCAGUGAAACUGAUCUCCCCGUGAAGAAGCGGGGAUCAAAAUAUAAGACGAGAAGACCCCAUGGAGCUUUAAACUCUCUGUGCACUUCUGUGCCCCUACAUCAUUAGACAUAAGAAAUCUGUACACUAGUUUUAGGUUGGGGGGACCACGGAGUACAACUUAACCUCCUUAACAAAUGGGUUAAUACCCUUAUCCACGAGACACACCUCUAAGAAUUAUUAAACUAAUGCCUAUGACCCGAUAUUCGAUCAAUGAACCAAGUUACCCUGGGGAUAACAGCGCAAUCUACUUCAAGAGCCCAUAUCGACAAGUAGGUUUACGACCUCGAUGUUGGAUCAGGGUAUCCCGGUGGUGCAGCCGCUACCAAUGGUUCGUUUGUUCAACGAUUAAAACCCUACGUGAUCU
rnacentral:rRNA from 1 species